rnacentral:rRNA from 1 species
CGGCUGUGUAAGUCCCUCGUUAAAUUCAACGUCCCAAGCGUUGGCCUGCGAGGGAUACUGCAUAGCUAGAGGGUGGGAGAGGUCUGCGGUAUUCUGGGGGUAGGGGCGAAAUCCUUUGAUCCCCGGAGGACCACCAGUGGCGAAGGCUGCAGACUAGAACACGCCUGACGGUCAGGGACGAAAGCUGGGGUAGCGAACCGGAUUAGAUACCCGGGUAGUCCCAGCCGUAAACUAUGCAUGCUAGGUGUUGGGUCGGCCACGCGCCGCCCCAGUGCCACAGGGAAGCCGUUAAGCAUGCCGCCUGGGAA